AUUGAACGCUGGCGGCAUGCUUUACACAUGCAAGUCGAACGGCAGCGCGGGCUUCGGCCUGGCGGCGAGUGGCGAACGGGUGAGUAAUAUAUCGGAACGUACCCAAGAGUGGGGGACAACGUAGCGAAAGUUACGCUAAUACCGCAUACGAUCUCAGGAUGAAAGCAGGGGACCGCAAGGCCUUGUGCUCCUGGAGCGGCCGAUAUCUGAUUAGCUAGUUGGUGAGGUAAAGGCUCACCAAGGCAACGAUCAGUAGCUGGUCUGAGAGGACGACCAGCCACACUGGAACUGAGACACGGUCCAGACUCCUACGGGAGGCAGCAGUGGGGAAUUUUGGACAAUGGGGGCAACCCUGAUCCAGCAAUGCCGCGUGAGUGAAGAAGGCCUUCGGGUUGUAAAGCUCUUUUGUCAGGGAAGAAAAGGGAGUGGCUAAUAUCCAUUCCUGCUGACGGUACCUGAAGAAUAAGCACCGGCUAACUACGUGCCAGCAGCCGCCGCCG
rnacentral:rRNA from 1 species